CCACGCACACUCGGAGGGUUGGGAUUCUGUCUCAACCUUGUUCCUGCAUCAGCCCUGAGGCCAGUCAGUCAGGACAAGCUCAGAAACAAUGCAGGCCUGAAUCCCGGCCGUUUUCCACACGUACAGGCAUGUAUACAUAUUUCAUGGAAAGAAAAUUCUCGUGGACCAGGUCCCUGGCUAGCACCAGGGCUGUC
rnacentral:lncRNA from 1 species